ACGGGUGAGUAACACGUAAGGAACCUGCCUCAAGGAUUGGGAUAACUCCGAGAAAUCGGAGCUAAUACCGGAUAGUUCAACGGACCGCAUGGUCCGCUGAUGAAAGGCGCUCCGGCGUCACCUUGAGAUGGCCUUGCGGUGCAUUAGCUAGUUGGUGGGGUAACGGCCCACCAAGGCGACGAUGCAUAGCCGACCUGAGAGGGUGAUCGGCCACACUGGGACUGAGACACGGCCCAGACUCCUACGGGAGGCAGCAGUAGGGAAUCUUCCACAAUGGACGAAAGUCUAAUGGAGCAACGCCGCGUGAGUGAUGAAGGUUUUCGGAUCGUAAAACUCUGUUGUAAGGGAAGAACACGUACGAGAGGAAAUGCUCGUACCUUGACGGUACCUUACGAGAAAGCCACGGCUAACUACGUGCCAGCAGCCGCGGUAAUACGUAGGUGGCAAGCGUUGUCCGGAAUUAUUGGGCGUAAAGCGCGCGCAGGCGGCCUUUUAAGUCUGAUGUGAAAGCCCCCGGCUCAACCGGGGAGGGCCAUUGGAAACUGGAAGGCUUGAGUACAGAAGAGAAGA
rnacentral:rRNA from 1 species